UGAGUCACUUGUGGAGCUGUAGGGU
rnacentral:piRNA from 1 species